rnacentral:rRNA from 1 species
UACGUAGGGUGCGAGCAUUGUCCGGAAUUAUUGGGCGUAAAGAGCUCGUAGGCGGUGUGUCACGUCGAUCGUGAAAACUUGGGGCUUAACCCUGAGCUUGCGGUCGAUACGGGCAUCACUGGAGUUCGGCAGGGGAGACUGGAAUUCCUGGUGUAGCGGUGAAAUGCGCAGAUAUCAGGAGGAACACCGGUGGCGAAGGCGGGUCUCUGGGCCGAUACUGACGCUGAGGAGCGAAAGCGUGGGGAGCGAACAGG